rnacentral:rRNA from 1 species
GACGAACGCUGGCGGCGUGCUUAACACAUGCGAGUCGAACGGAAAGGCCCUGCUUUUGUGGGGUGCUCGAGUGGCGAACGGGUGAGUAACACGUGAGUAACCUGCCCUUGACUUUGGGAUAACUUCAGGAAACUGGGGCUAAUACCGGAUAGGAGCUCCUGCUGCAUGGUGGGGGUUGGAAAGUUUCGGCGGUUGGGGAUGGACCCGCGGCUUAUCAGCUUGUUGGUGGGGUAGUGGCUUACCAAGGCUUUGACGGGUAGCCGGCCUGAGAGGGUGACCGGCCACAUUGGGACUGAGAUACGGCCCAGACUCCUACGGGAGGCAGCAGUGGGGAAUAUUGCACAAUGGGCGGAAGCCUGAUGCAGCAACGCCGCGUGCGGGAUGACGGCCUUCGGGUUGUAAACCGCUUUCGCCUGUGACGAAGCGUGAGUGACGGUAAUGGGUAAAGAAGCACCGGCUAACUACGUG